GUUCUGCUGCGGCGUUGGUGACUGCCAAUAACGUUUUAUGAUCUAUGCCUUGUUUAUAAGGGAAACUAGAUGUUUCAGUGGCAGUAUACCGGGCUUGUACCCGGAAACUUAAAACUGAGGCCGUGACUCCCACCUGGAUUUUUCCAGGUCAAAAGCUGAGGUAAGACGGCGUUGCGGGGGACUC
rnacentral:other from 2 species